rnacentral:rRNA from 1 species
AGUGAACGCUGGCGGUAGGCCUAACACAUGCGAGUCGAACGGCAGCACGGUAAGAGCUUGCUCUUACGGGUGGCGAGUGGCGGACGGGUGAGGAAUACAUCGGAAUCUACUUUUUCGUGGGGGAUAACGUAGGGAAACUUACGCUAAUACCGCAUACGACCUACGGGUGAAAGCAGGGGAUCUUCGGACCUUGCGCGAUUGAAUGAGCCGAUGUCGGAUUAGCUAGUUGGCGGGGUAAAGGCCCACCAAGGCGACGAUCCGUAGCUGGUCUGAGAGGAUGAUCAGCCACACUGGAACUGAGACACGGUCCAGACUCCUACGGGAGGCAGCAGUGGGGAAUAUUGGACAAUGGGCGCAAGCCUGAUCCAGCCAUACCGCGUGGGUGAAGAAGGCCUUCGGGUUGUAAAGCCCUUUUGUUGGGAAAGAAAAGCAGCAGGUUAAUACCCCGCUGUUCUGACGGUACCCAAAGAAUAAGCACCGGCUAACUUCGUG